GAUGAAGAACGCAGCGAAAUGCGAUAAGUAAUGUGAAUUGCAGAAUUCAGUGAAUCAUCGAAUCUUUGAACGCACAUUGCGCCCGCCAGUAUUCUGGCGGGCAUGCCUGUUCGAGCGUCAUUUCAACCCUCAGGCCCCGCCUGGCGUUGGGGAUCGGCGCGGCCCUCUCCGGGCUGCCGGCCCCGAAAACUAGUGGCGGUCUCGCUGUAGUCCUCCUCUGCGCAGUAGCGAUGCUCGCACUGGAACUCGGCGCGGCCACGCCGUAAAACACCCCACUUCUGAAAGUUGACCUCGGAUCAGGUAGGAAUACCCGCUGAACUUAAGCAUAUCAAUAAGCGGAGGA
rnacentral:misc_RNA from 1 species